UAAAAAGUAUAAAAUUUAGGUAGUAUUGGAUGGCUUAAAACUUAAAAAAUUUGGCGGUGUUUUAAUCUUAUUAGAGGAACCUGUUUUAUAAUCGACAAUACCCGACAAAUCUUACUUAGGUUAUUAACUUGUAUAUCGUUGUGAUAAUAAUAUUUUAUAGUUAUUAUUAGGGGUAAUUUUAUUUUUGAUAUCAGAUCAAGGUUCAGUUUAUGCUUGAGUAAAAAAUAGGUUACAAUAUAAAAAUAUAUUAUGAAGUUUACAUUUCAAAAGUAAGUGAAGGUGGAUUUAAAAGUAUUAUUAUAAUAAUAAGUUAGUUUGAAUUAGCUCUAAAACAUGU
rnacentral:rRNA from 1 species